CAAAAUGUAGCUUAAACAAAGCAUCCUACUUACAAUUGGAAGACGCCACAUACACUGGCCUUUUUGA
rnacentral:tRNA from 1 species